GAUCUAAUUUUAUUCCCAUUUCAAUAUCUUACCUGCUCUUGUACUUUAUUGAUUUACCUGUUUUCUUAUUUGUUCCACUCUGCUGUUGCCGUGUUUAUCUGACGUAUCUUAUUUUCAAUUUAGUACAUUUUAUUCCACAUACUCUUCACUUCAUUUUAUCAUUUAUGCACUUUCUCGAUAUUAAUCAGUUUUUCUUUCCCUCUCUUUAUCUAUCUCGUCAGCUUCUCCACGUUGCCCCUCCACAUCUGCACCAUCAUUUACGUGGAUCAGAGGUUUAGAUGGAGGAAGUAAACGAGAGAAGGAAAUGUCAAAAAAGGUGAAGCCAAAACUCAGAUAAAAAAUAAACCAGUGUAAGGUUCGUCAUAUUUAAUCAACAUUAGUGAUACUUUCUCCCUAAUGAGAGAGAGAGAGAGAGAGAGAGAGAGAGAGAGAGAGAGAGAGAGAGAGAGAGAGAGAGAGAGAGAGAGAGAGAGAGAGAGAGAGAGAGAGAGAGAGAGAGAGAGAGAGAGAGAGAGAGACCAAAGGAUUUUUACAUACAAGGACAUGCUGACACUCUUUAUUAUCGCUGUCUGUUGCUCCCUCACAUUCGUUCUUGAAGGGAUGGCUGGUGUUUGGCGGGGCAGGACGGGGUGGGGCGGGGCAGUUCAUGAAUCGGCGUCAUUUGUUUAGCGGGGAGGAGGCGGGGUGGGAUGGUGUUGCAAUGUAGAAAGUAGUAUCAGGUAUUUGGGGGGGGGUCACGUCUGGUCGGGGCGGGGCGGGGCGGGGCUACAGGUGCUUACAUGGGUCACCACACGCGGGCAGGUGAAUAAUGCUGUAGAUGAGGGCCGUGGCAAGGGUGUCAGGAGGGUCAGGUCCGCCGGGGCCCAGCAGGGGUUAACAGGGUGGCUGCACGGCGCGGCUAGACUGACCUUUGUUGUAUGGUGACGGGCGAAGUGACUGACGGGAAGGGUGGACUGACUGACGGGUGAUACGGCUACUGGUUAACUGGCUAUGUAGUGACAGGCUGGAUGACUGGUGAACCACGCUAGGGGACGGGCGGAGUGGAUGACAGGGGUGACUGGGCGAGGCGAUAUAGCUACCUACCGUCGGACUGGAUGACUGGAUGACCUGACGGGAUGGUUGGGCGAGAUGGUAUGGCUACUGGUUGACUGGAUUAUUUACUGGAUGACUGGAUGACUGGUGAACCGCGCAGGGUGACUGACAAGGUGACGGGCUAACUGGGUAAUAUACUGACGGACUUGCUGACAGAUUGACCGACAGACUGGGUGAUGUAUUGACGGGUCUGGCUGACAGGUGGACUAUAUAGGUGACAAGGUGACGGGUUGAUUGGCUGACACAUGGCUGGGAUGGCUGAAGAGAGGGCUUGCUGACAGGCUGAUGAAAUGGCUGACGUACUGGCUGUUGAGGUAUAUUUUCAGGGUGCAUCCAUGGAAUUAUAAUGUCUGACAGUUGAGAUGGCUGAUGGAAAAAGUAAAGGGGGAGGAGAGAGGGUGAAGGGAGAGGAGGAGAGGGUGAAGGAGUUAAAAGGA